UUGGACCAUGGCCCAUCUGUUUUUACAGUUUAUAUCCAGUCACUGAUAACAGAAAUUUAGAAUGUCACAAUGAAACAAUCUACGUAACCAAAUAAGAAGAGGUCAUGCAAACAUGACAGUCACAAUGUUACUGGUUUGCGGUGCUCAGCUGAAGAAUGUGAAGUUUUUUACCUGAGUAAUGCUUCUCUGUGUACAUCUAUUGGGUGCAGAUUGCCAAAAGGACCUCAUAAAAUCUUGUUCAGAUCAGUAAUGCUCAGUGCUCAACCUUCAACAUGGGAUUCUGGGAGCUGGAUGCCAAUACUUUUGGAGAGGCUUUAAAUCCUUAUUUUGACUUCUGAAGACUUUUAGAUCUCAACAGAUGACCAAAUAGCACCUGGGGUUGUUUGCAUGUGUAAAAGAAGAGAUGUGCUUAAGAGACCUGAUGAGUUAAGGCCCUUCUGGCCCUGUCUCAAACACUAGAACGUGGAAGAAACACAGGAAAACAAGGCCAUAGGAGCCAUCUGCAACUCAAGGAAAUUUAUUGCCAGGCUUCCAGAUAAGGGUAAGAAGAUCUCCGAUUUUGCUGAGAAGCUGACACUUGCCAUUUUAGAAGA